AGUGGCUCACGUGGGACUUCAGUCCUGGCCCGGGGACUUCUCUAGCCGCCCAUGGCGCACCUCCUCCCUGCUUCUUCUCCUGGCAUCUCUGGUGCAGGCCGCCCGCCCACCGCCUCCUCCCUUCCCUGGUCACUGCUCGGAACCGGCCCGCAGCUGCUCGGUGGUGCUGGACACCAUUUCCGGGCAGCUGAAGACCCUGAGCAGCUGGGCCCCCACCGCCGUCACCUGGGCUAACCUGACCGACGGCAUCCGCGACACCGGGGAAUGUCCUGCCUGUGCAAUGAAGAAUCUCCAUUACGUGUGGGCAACAUUUCACAACUCAUGAAGGAUAACAGUGAAAAACACUUCUGUGGUUGAAGGAAGAUCUCGUUUUGAAGGAAGGUUGUUUUCUAUCAGAGGAAGAAGACCUUUGACCUAGCUGGGACGUUGGUCUGCACCUUUCUCAGCAACGCAAUAUCCUUCUUGAGGCAUGGUGACCAGAAAUGGCUAUAGUACUCCAAGUGUGGUCACCACAGAUUUAUAUAAAGGAAGCAAUUGAAUCUAAGCUCCAGGUGCCAUUACAGAACAUUUAAGUGUAUUGACCUUAGCAAAUCCAGCAUCUUUGAUGCCAGGAAAGCAAUUUGUAUGAGAUGAAGAGUUCCCAGUUCUUGAUAAGAGUGUCUUGCUUACAUGGAAGAUUCUCGCCUGAAUCAGAGUGGAGCUGAUCAGAUCCAGACAGAUGGCAGGUCUUGUUGCAGCCCCUUGAGCAGCUGUCUCUGCUGACAAAGAUAUUCUGUGUCUCCUCAGCUGAAAGAACAGGAGAGGGUUGGCAAAGCCAUUGAAUAUUUCAUCUGACAUGAAGCGACGGAGUGAUUUUACAACUUAUUUAUGGUGAUUAAAUUAAGUAGGUUCCCCUUCGUGUAUAUUUUAUCCGUUGCUUGACUUUCUUUGCUUCUGUUCUUGGCCCUCUUAGCCACACAUAGAUGCCUACAUUGUGUACACACACACAAACUUGCACAGCACACAUCAAUCUCCAGGGCGGAUGUUUGCCGUUAAGCCAUUACCCAAGCAAGGAGGGAAAUUAUGGUGUUGUAGAUUAUGCUGAUUCAUAGGGUCGCCAUAAGCCGUAAUCGACUUAAAGGCACAUAGCAACAACAACAACAGAUUAUGCUACGGUGGUUCCUCCCCCACCCCGACAAUGCACUCAGCCUCUAGACAUUUAAAAAGCACUCACAAGGUGCAGGGAAGUUCUGAUGAAAAAAAGCUCUGACACUUGUGCACUGCUGCUUUGGCAAUGUGGAUCAUGUUCCAUCUGAUCAAAUAAGCCCUUCAGUCAGGAGUCAGAAGGUGGCACUCCUCUUUUGCCUGCUGCUGCAAGGUUUUAGCAGGCUCGGAAUGAGAGCAUUUCCUUCAGCCCAACCUCGAUAUGAGGCUACUGGCAAUUUUGGUUGUGCACAUUCAUUCACAUCCAUAUAUGUCAUGGCUCCCCCCCCCCCAGGAGGAAGUGGCAACUUUAAAAACUGGGAAGCUGUCUGCUUCUUCCCUCAUGCUUUCCCCUGCCCCCUGCUGCUUUUGACUCGACACAGUCAUGAUAUCUGCCAGCUGCUGAACAGAUGUGCUGUAAGACUGGAAGUAACAGCUGCUUAUUACAGAGUGACAGGGAUGUUUUGUGGCUUCCUCAUCCCCAGGCGUCCAUUUUUGAUUCCAUUCUCAGCUAUUCCUUCCAUAUUAUUUAUUACUUAGCCAGGGAGAAGAAAAGGAUGUAAAAAGGGAGAAGAAAAAUAAUCUUCCUUCAGAUAGGAGACUUGUUUAAGUGAAGCUCUGACACCUUUAUAACACACAAUUGUGUUUAUUUUAAUUUAUACAGCAGUCUCCUUAUUUCCCACGCCCUUCUAUAACUAAGUACAUAUAACUGAAAUAAGGCCUGUUCGUCCCCUCUUCUCCAUGCCUUUGCUUCCUUUCCACUGCUGCCUUCCCCACAUCAAAUUUUAGAUGGUAAGCUCCUUAGGGCAGGGACUUGUCCUGUUAUAUUUUUGUAAAGUGUCAUGCACACUGAUGGAAAAACAACUAUAAAUAUGCAUAUAGUCAGGUGAACAUCAUGGCCUCAGCAUGCAGAGGUAGAAAUGAAGGUGGUUUAAGGGAUUAGAAGAAAAUGCUAAAUGGGAAAUGGUGGUUUAGUUAGUGAAGAGCUUAGUGAAGAGAGGUUAUAAAAGGAAGAUUGAAUUAUAGGAGAUGGGCUCAUCCACACUGGAGUUUAAUGUGGAUUUGAAGCUUCUUGUGCCUCUUUUUCUUUUGUGGCAUCCACAUGGCAUCCUCCUUAUUCUACUGGCAGCCUGCACUCCUCCCCCCCCAUCUGGAUUUUCCCGCAUCUGUGGAGAAUUUGAUAAGGGAAGAAAAUCCAGUAUAAAACCACAUUUUACCUGAGUGUAAAAUUACUGAAGUGCAUUGUGUGAGUGGCAUUUUUUUUUACAUGUCUGGUGAUGCUUCACUGGGUGCCAUCUAUCCCCACACCUUUGCAGGUACAGGAGGCAGGGAAGGAAAAGGGGAAGAAAGGAAGUGGCAGCCUUUCAUGCAGGUCACUCCAGAUCUUUGCCUGAGUUGGAGAGAGACACGUAUUUUUAAUGGCUGCUUUGUGCAAAUCUGGUAUAUCAAAAAACUUGUAUUCGGGCACGUAAACAAAUACCUGUGUAUAUGUCUACAGUGGACCUCAGUUUUCCUGGCUUGGAGGAAUGCACACAUUUAAAAACAAUAUUUCUGACUACUCUUUUGUGCAAAUCUGGUAUAUCA